CAGGUCUGACACAUGCAAGUCGAGCGCCAGCUAAUCCCGAUUUCCCGAGGGUGACGAGCGGCGGACGGGUGAGUAAUGUCUGGGAAACUGCCUGAUGGAGGGGGAUAACUACUGGAAACGGUAGCUAAUACCGCAUAACGUCGCAAGACCAAAGAGGGGGACCUUCGGGCCUCUUGCCAUCAGAUGUGCCCAGAUGGGAUUAGCUAGUAGGUGGGGUAACGGCUCACCUAGGCGACGAUCCCUAGCUGGUCUGAGAGGAUGACCAGCCACACUGGAACUGAGACACGGUCCAGACUCCUACGGGAGGGAGCAGUGGGGAAUAUUGCACAAUGGGCGCAAGCCUGAUGCAGCCAUGCCGCGUGUAUGAAGAAGGCCUUCGGGUUGUAAAGUACUUUCAGCGGGGAGGAAGGGGGUGAGGUUAAUAACCUCAUCGAUUGACGUUACCCGCAGAAAAAGCACCGGCUAACUCCGUGCCAGCAGCCGCGGUAAUACGGAGGGUGCAAGCGUUAAUCGGAAUUACUGGGCGUAAAGCGCACGCAGGCGGUCUGUCAAGUCGGAUGUGAAAUCCCCGGGCUCAACCUGGGAACUGCAUUCGAAACUGGCAGGCUAGAGUCUUGUAGAGGGGGGUAGAAUUCCAGGUGUAGCGGUGAAAUGCGUAGAGAUCUGGAGGAAUACCGGUGGCGAAGGCGGCCCCCUGGACAAAGACUGACGCUCAGGUGCGAAAGCGUGGGGAGCAAACAGGAUUAGAUACCCUGGUAGUCCACGCCGUAAACGAUGUCGACUUGGAGGUUGUGCCCUUGAGGCGUGGCUUCCGGAGCUAACGCGUUAAGUCGACCGCCUGGGGAGUACGGCCGCAAGGUUAAAACUCAAAUGAAUUGACGGGGGCCCGCACAAGCGGUGGAGCAUGUGGUUUAAUUCGAUGCAACGCGAAGAACCUUACCUACUCUUGACAUCCAGAGAACUUUCCAGAGAUGGAUUGGUGCCUUCGGGAACUCUGAGACAGGUGCUGCAUGGCUGUCGUCAGCUCGUGUUGUGAAAUGUUGGGUUAAGUCCCGCAACGAGCGCAACCCUUAUCCUUUGUUGCCAGCGGUUCGGCCGGGAACUCAAAGGAGACUGCCAGUGAUAAACUGGAGGAAGGUGGGGAUGACGUCAAGUCAUCAUGGCCCUUACGAGUAGGGCUACACACGUGCUACAAUGGCGCAUACAAAGAGAAGCGACCUCGCGAGAGCAAGCGGACCUCAUAAAGUGCGUCGUAGUCCGGAUUGGAGUCUGCAACUCGACUCCAUGAAGUCGGAAUCGCUAGUAAUCGUAGAUCAGAAUGCUACGGUGAAUACGUUCCCGGGCCUUGUACACACCGCCCGUCACACCAUGGGAGUGGGUUGCAAAAGAAGUAGGUAGCUUAACCUUCUGGAGGGCGCUUACCAC
rnacentral:rRNA from 1 species